rnacentral:lncRNA from 1 species
UGUUGUCUUGUUAGAAAAUGCAUUGAGCAUCUAGUUAUAGAAGGUAAAAUAUUCCACAAGUAUCUAAGAAAUCUUAAUAGAUUUUAUCCAUACAAAAAGAAUAUAAUCCAAAUUUCAAUUCAAAAGUGCUAAAAAAUACUCUUCUUAGUAGCCUCAAUCAUAAAUACACUCCAAUUAUCUUGUUACUUUCAUAUUUAAGCAAUUUAGAUUUUUCUUGUAAAUCCUAACCUUUAUUAGUGAGCUUUGACAAGUUGUAACUUCUACUUUGACUAUCUACUUGAUGUGAAAUUUUGAAUACAAUUGGCAAUAUACUUUGUCUAUAUGCUCAAGAAAUUUAAGCCCAAUUCAAUUUACAAAAUGUGAGAAAAUCUCAAAAAAAUAUACUAAUAUCACUUUGCUACCAACUUAAAAGGUGAUGCAAAAUUUCCAGUAGUGGUUUUUUCUUUUCUAAUUU